rnacentral:rRNA from 1 species
AUUGAACGCUGGCGGCAUGCCUUACACAUGCAAGUCGAACGGUAACAGGUCUUCGGAUGCUGACGAGUGGCGAACGGGUGAGUAAUACAUCGGAACGUGCCUAGUAGUGGGGGAUAACUACUCGAAAGAGUGGCUAAUACCGCAUGAGAUCUACGGAUGAAAGCAGGGGAUCGCAAGACCUUGUGCUACUAGAGCGGCCGAUGGCAGAUUAGGGAGUUGGUGGGAUGAAAGCUUACCAAGCCGACGAUCUGUAGCUGGUCUGAGAGGACGAUCAGCCACACUGGGACUGAGAAACGGCCCAGACUCCUACGGGAGGCAGCAGUGGGGAAUUUUGGACAAUGGGCGCAAGCCUGAUCCAGCAAUGCCGCGUGCAGGAUGAAGGCCUUCGGGUUGUAAACUGCUUUUGUACGGAACGAAAAGCCCCGGGUUAAUACCCUGGGGUCAUGACGGUACCGUAAGAAUAAGCACCGGCUAACUACGUGCCAGCAGCCGCCGUAA